UUUUGUCUGAAAUGUGCCUGUCACAUGCUGACUGCGGUCCAGACAGACCCACAACCCCUUGCCCCCUCCAGCUCUGUUGGAGGGGGGGCCCCAGCUGCCAGAACUGCAGGGGUUUUCAGAAAGCUGAGUAACCAUUUGCACUCUGUCUGCCUAGUCUGUCUGGGGUAUCUCAUGAUUUAGUGUCUUUUUGAUCAGGGGGGCCCAGAUCUGGAAAAUGUGCCUGUUAACCUGACUGGAGCCAGGUAGAUGAAUAGAGGCUACAUAAACGAAACUUGUGGAAUCCAGCCUGCAUUUGCACUGCGGGGGCUGCUGUCAUGUUACAGUGCCCACCCUGAUUGGCCCCUGAUUGGACAUGGCUUUGCCAGCAGAAGAAAUGUUUUGUUGCUUGACCCACAGCAGCUCCUAUGAAUGACAGAAUCACUGCUGCAGGACCUGCUUUCUACUGGCAAAGCUGUCUACACCACAGGUUUGACCAGCAGCACCACCUUAUCUACAGAGUGUGAUGGUUAUAUGGCCUUUG